GCGAUGCCGCGUGAGUGAAGAAGCCCUUGGGUUGUAAAGCUCUUUCGUCGGGGAAGAAAAUGACUGUACCCGAAUAAGAAGGUCCGGCUAACUUCGUGCCAGCAGCCGCGGUAAUA
rnacentral:rRNA from 1 species